rnacentral:misc_RNA from 1 species
AGACCACACUUUGUUGAUCCAUAACUACAAGAUUGAAAAGACAAACACAGCUAGAAUUAUUAACAACAACCAGGAAUUCCGAGCAUCACAAAUGCCAUAGAUUAUUGAAGAGCAAUUUUUUGUAAGUAAGGGUGAAAACAGACUCUGCCUAUGAGGAUGCAGGCUAUCACUUUAAUAGAAAUUACAACUUACACGGCUGUAAGAGGGGUACUAGAU